rnacentral:misc_RNA from 1 species
UCCCAGUUAACCUGGGCAGUCUCACUAGAGUACCCGCCAUUACGCGCUGGCAACUAAUGAUAAGGGUUGCGCUCGUUGCGGGACUUAACCCAACACCUCACGGCACGAGCUGACGACAGCCAUGCAGCACCUGUAUAGCGGCCCUUACGGGAAGCCUCAUCUCUGAAGCGGUCCACUAUAUGUCAAGUCUGGGUAAGGUUCUUCGCGUUGCAUCGAAUUAAACCACAUGCUCCACUGCUUGUGCGGGCCCCCGUCAAUUCUUUUGAGUUUCACCCUUGCGAGCGUACUCCCCAGGCGGUAUACUUAACGCGUUAGCUUCGACACAGCCGGGGUUGAGACCAGCUACAUCAAGUAUACAUAGUUUACGGCAAGGACUAC